GAUGAACGCUGGCGGCGUGCCUAAUACAUGCAAGUCGAGCGAACGGACGAGAAGCUUGCUUCUCUGAUGUUAGCGGCGGACGGGUGAGUAACACGUGGAUAACCUACCUAUAAGACUGGGAUAACUUCGGGAAACCGGAGCUAAUACCGGAUGAUAUUUUGAACCGCAUGGUUCAAAAGUGAAAGACGGUCUUGCUGUCACUUAUAGAUGGAUCCGCGCUGCAUUAGCUAGUUGGUAAGGUAACGGCUUACCAAGGCAACGAUGCAUAGCCGACCUGAGAGGGUGUUCGGCCAAAAAGUAACUGUGACACGGUCAAGACUCCUAAGUGAGGCAGCAGUAGGCAAUCUUACGCAAUGGGGGAAAGCCUGACGGAGCAACGCCGCGUUAGUGAUUAUGGUUUUCGGAUCGUAAAGCUCUGUUAUUAGGGAAGAACAUAUGUGUAAGUAACUGUGCAGAUCUUGACGGUACCGAAUCAGAAAGCGACGGCUAACUACGUG
rnacentral:rRNA from 1 species